rnacentral:rRNA from 1 species
UAGCAUAAUCAUUUGUUAUUUAAUUGAUAACUWGAAUGAAAGGUUUUACAAAUAAUUUUUUUUUUUAUAAAAUUUAGUAUAAUUUAUAAUUUAAAUAAAAAUAUUUAAAUAUUUUAAAGGGACGAUAAGACCCUAAAAGCUUAAUUAGAAAUUUAUAUUUAGUCAUAUUGAAUAAUAAAAAAAAAUAAAAUAUUAAUAUUUUACUGGGGUAGUAGUUAUAUAAUAUUUAUAAUAUAGAAAAACAUUUAAAUGAAAUGUUGAUCUUUUAGUUAAGAAUAAUUAGAAUAAGUUACUUUAGGGUUAACAGCAUAAUAAUUUUGGAGAGUUCUUAUUAAUAAAAUUGAUUAUGACCUCGAUGUUGAAUUAAAAUAUCUUAGUAAGGAAAAAUGUACUAUAGAAGGUUUGUUCAACCUUUAAAUUUUUACAUGAUUU